AUACGUAGGUGGCAAGCGUUGUCCGGAAUUACUGGGUGUAAAGGGAGCGUCAGGUGGGAUGGAAAGUUGGAUGUUUAAUCUACGGGCUCAACCCGUAUCAGCAUUCAAAACUAUCAUUCUUGAGUGGAGUAGAGGCAGGCGGAAUUCCAGGUGUAGCGGUGGAAUGCGUAGAUAUCUGGAGGAACACCAGUGGCGAAGGCGGCCUGCUGGGCUCUAACUGACACUGAGGCUCGAAAGCGUGGGUAGC
rnacentral:rRNA from 1 species